CCUGAAACUUGGGCGCUCCUUCAGUCUGGAUGUUGAUGGCAGGACAGGGGGGCGCCUGGACCAUGGGCGACGUGGUAGAGAAGAGUUUGGAAGGGCCGCUGGCACCUUCUACGGAUGAGGCCUCCCAGAAAAGAGGAGACCUGGUAGAAAUCUUAAAUGGGGAUAAGGUAAAAUUCGAUGACACGGGACUCUCCUUAAUUCUGCAGAAUGGCCUGGACACCCUCCGCGUGGAAAAUGCUCUGACAGAUGUCAUCUUGUGUGUGGACAUUCAGGAAUUCUCCUGCCACCGCGUGGUGCUUGCCGCGGCCAGCAACUAUUUCAGGGCCAUGUUCUGCAAUGAUUUAAAGGAAAAGUAUGAGAAGAGGAUCAUUAUCAAAGGGGUUGAUGCUGAGACCAUGCACACUCUUCUGGACUACACAUACACCAGCAAGGCACUGAUCACCAAGCAGAAUGUGCAACGGAUCCUGGAAGCUGCUAACCUUUUCCAGUUCCUGCGGAUGGUGGAUGCCUGUGCUAGCUUCCUAACAGAAGCCUUGAAUCCAGAAAACUGUGUUGGAAUACUGAGGCUGGCAGAUACACACUCCUUGGACAGCCUGAAAAAGCAGGUGCAAAAUUACAUCAUCCAAAACUUUGUGCAGAUUCUGAACUCUGAGGAGUUCCUAGAACUUCCCGUGGACACUCUGUACCACAUCUUGAAGAGUGAUGAGCUGUAUGUAACAGAGGAGGCUCAGGUGUUUGAGACUGUGAUGAGUUGGGUCCGGCACAAACAGGCAGAACGACUCUGCUUGCUCCCCUACCUCCUUGAGAAUGUGCGCUUGCCACUGCUGGACCCGUGGUACUUUGUGGAGACGGUGGAGGCAGAUCCUCUCAUCAGACAGUGCCCGGAGGUCUUCCCGCUGCUUCAGGAAGCCAGGAUGUACCACCUUUCAGGCAAUGAGAUCAUUUCCGAGCGCACCAAGCCCAGGAUGCAUGAGUUUCAGUCUGAGGUAUUCAUGAUCAUUGGUGGCUGCACAAAGGAUGAACGGUUUGUGGCGGAGGUAACCUGCCUGGACCCCCUGAGGCGCAGCCGCCUGGAGGUGGCCAAGCUCCCCAUGACGGAGCAUGAGCUGGAGAGUGAGAACAAGAAGUGGGUGGAGUUUGCAUGCGUGACAUUGAAAAAUGAGGUCUACAUCUCAGGUGGCAAAGAGACACAGCAUGAUGUUUGGAAAUAUAAUUCUUCAAUCAACAAAUGGAUUCAAAUUGAGUAUUUGAACAUAGGCCGCUGGAGGCAUAAAAUGGUGGUAUUAGGUGGCAAGGUCUAUGUGAUUGGAGGUUUUGAUGGCUUACAGAGGAUCAACAAUGUGGAGACCUAUGAUCCCUUCCAUAACUGCUGGUCAGAGGCAGCACCCCUUCUUGUCCACGUCAGUUCCUUCGCAGCUACCAGCCAUAAGAAGAAACUCUAUGUGAUUGGGGGCGGGCCCAAUGGGAAACUGGCCACAGACAAGACUCAGUGUUAUGACCCUUCAACCAAUAAAUGGAAUUUAAAGUCGUCCAUGCCGGUGGAGGCUAAAUGCAUCAAUGCUGUCAGUUUCCGGGACCGCAUCUAUGUUGUUGGAGGGGCUAUGAGAGCGCUGUACGCCUACAGCCCUCUGGAAGACAGCUGGUGCCUGGUGACCCAGCUCAGCCACGAGAGGGCCAGCUGCGGCAUCGCGCCCUGCAACAACCGGCUCUACAUCACUGGGGGGCGGGACGAGAAGAACGAGGUCAUCGCCACGGUGCUGUGCUGGGACCCCGAGGCCCAGAAACUGACGGAGGAGUGUGUCCUGCCCCGGGGGGUGUCGCACCACGGCAGUGUCACCAUCAGGAAAUCUUACACCCACAUCCGGAGGAUCGUGCCCGGAGCCGUGUCGGUGUGACUGCGGGAGGGCGGAGCCACGGGGGCGCGGGGCGAGGUGCCAGGAGACCUCCCUCCUCACCUGUUGCCCGGGUUCGUCCCACUUGAGACAGCAGGCUGGGCUGGAGCUACAGGCCACACACCUGGGUUCCCCGCGGCUCCGCAUGGGAGCUCCUUUUGGAAGUCACAGCUUUGGGACACCAGCCAGGAAUGUUUGUGCGACCUACCUCAGGAGGGAAGAAGAGUAAUAUGUAACAUUCAGGACAGACCUGUCCCCUGCCAGGUUCUGUGCCAAGCACUUUUGUGUAUCAGUUUGUUUAACCACCAUAAUGACCUGGUCACCGGACAUUAUCACUUCUGUUUUACAGGUGAGGAAACUGAGUUUCAGAGAGGCGAAGUACUUUGUCCCUGGUCACCCAGAUUAUAAGUAGCUAAGCCAAGAGGCUAACUCCAGGUCUUUUCAAUUUCAAGCUAUCCCAGCACCAAAGCAUCUCUAAGGGUCUCCUGAUUUCUGAAGUUUGGACAAAGAGCAAAAGAAGAUAUGAGACUUCCUGGCUACGUAUUCUUUGAGACGGUUUGUGGGUAAGGAAACUUCCCUUUUCCCUUAGUAAAACUAACCCGGAUCCUCCAAGUUUGU